CAUGUGUGUGCUUGUGUGUAAGUGUGUGUGCAUGUGCAUUUGUGUGUAUAUGAAUAUAUGUGUGUGUACACAUGUGUAUGUGCAUGUAUACAUAUAUGUGUAUGUGUGUGUGUGUGUGCAUGU
rnacentral:miRNA from 14 species